GAUGAAGAACGUAGUGAAAUGCGAUACGUAAUGUGAAUUGCAGAAUUCAGUGAAUCAUCGAAUCUUUGAACGCAUAUUGCGCUCUCUGGUAUUCCAGAGAGCAUGCUUGUUUGAGUAUCAGUAAACACCUCAACUCCCUUUUCUUUUUUGAAAUUGGAGCUGGACUUGAGUGAUCCCAACGCUUUCUUCCAAGAAAGUGGCGGGUUGCUUGAAAUGCAGGUGCAGCUGAACUUUUCUCUGAGCUAUAAGCAUAUCUAUUUAGUCUGCCUAAAAAACAGAUUAUUACCUUUGCUGCAGCUAACAUAAAGGAGACUAGUUCUUGUGCUGACUGAUGCAGGAUUCACAGAGACAGCUUCGGCUGACUUUGUAAACUCGAUCUCAAAUCAAGUAAGACUACCCGCUGAACUUAAGCAUAUCAAUAAGCGGAGGA
rnacentral:misc_RNA from 1 species